AGUUUUUAAUUGUUCUUUUCUUUUGGCAGCUCUGUGCAUGUGCAGGCUGAGAAGAGGCUCCAGCUGUUCUUCUGCCCCACUGAUCUCCGACUCCCAAGGCAGCUGAUGACUGCCAGCCUACCCUGUCCCCAUCUCUGCCUGUGAUGCAGAGCCCUUAUCUGAGCCUUCCUCAGCCUCCAGGAAUGGCCCAGGUUCCUCCCAAAACAUCCUCAUUGUCCGACUCUACACCCACAUCUUUUGAAGGCAAGCUCUUCUACUCAUUACUUGUCCUCACUGUUAGGAAGUUUCUCCUUAAUCACACAUAUAAAAUUAACGUUACUUUAUAAUUAUAUAUAUAUAUAUUUAUUUUAUAAUUGAACUUAAAAUUCUACAUUUCAUUCAGUUUGAUUAUCUGAAUAUUAAGCCAGCGCUGUCCGAAAGGAAUUUCUGCAGUCACCUGGCUAGCAUGACCUUGCAGAACGCUGUUCCCUUCCAACCAAAGUGAUAUCUAUUUAUCUACUUCCAUUUCCAGUGCUUUCAGACUGUUAGAUUGUCAGGAGCCGAGCUCAGGAUGGGAGCUCAUGCCGUCACGUUGUGUUUGGGUCUCAAAUCUUUCCAGCUGACAAGCCUAGUAUCUUAACCACUGAGCCACCAUGCCGACGAGAUAAUUGUCCUAUGAAAUUCAUGCCUUUCAUCCUCCUGCCAGGCAGAAAGAUUGAUCGGUAUGGUAAACGUGGACCUGAAACAGGCCUCAUCUGGAAUGCCACCGGUCGGUCCAAAGAGGGACCCCACUAAGAGCUCUUGCCAAACUGGAUCAUUGCCAAAUGCCAACCAAGCUACCAGUUCUCUGGCUCUCAACCCUGAAGUGUUUUCCAAUCCAAGAGCUUAAAUGAAGAUUCUAAAGAAAACAACAACCCGGAUGUCGAUUCUCGCUCAACAGGAUCCUGAACCUCUCUUGGCGGACGGGGAAGAUGCUAAACAAAGGAAAGUUCUAUGCACCA